UACGUAGGUGGCGAACGUUGUCCGGAUUCACUGGGCGUAAAGCGCGCGCAGGCGGACUGAUAAGUCAGAGGUGAAAUCUCCCGGCUCAACUGGGAGGGGCCCUUUGAUACUGUCAGUCUUGAGGCACCUAGAGGAGAGUGGAAUUCCCGGUGUAGUGGUGGAAUGCGUAGAUAUCGGGAGGAACACCAGUGGCGAAAGCGACUCUCUGGGGGUGACCUGACGCUGAGGCGCGAAAGCGUGGGGAGCAAACGGGAUUAGAUACCCCGGUAGUCCACGCCGUAAACGAUGAGUACUAGCUGUCUGGGGUAUCGACUCCCUGGGUAGCGAAGCUAACGCGAUAAGUACUCCGCCUGGGGACUACGACCGCAAGGUUA
rnacentral:rRNA from 1 species